rnacentral:rRNA from 1 species
UACGGGGGGGGCAAGCGUUGUUCGGAAUUACUGGGCGUAAAGGGCUCGUAGGCGGCCAACUAAGUCAGACGUGAAAUCCCUCGGCUUAACCGGGGAACUGCGUCUGAUACUGGAUGGCUCGAGUUUGGGAGAGGGAUGCGGAAUUCCAGGUGUAGCGGUGAAAUGCGUAGAUAUCUGGAGGAACACCGGUGGCGAAGGCGGCAUCCUGGACCAACACUGACGCUGAUGAGCGAAAAGCCAGGGGGAGCAAAC